rnacentral:rRNA from 1 species
CACGUAGGCGGACUUUCAAGUCAGGGGUGAAAUCCCGGAGCUCAACUUCGGAAUUGCCUUUGAUACUGUUGGUCCCGAGUCCGGAAGAGGUGGGUGGAAUUCCUAGUGUAGAGGUGAAAUUCGUAGAUAUUAGGAAGAACACCGGUGGCGAAGGCGGCCCACUGGUCCGGUACUGACGCUGAGGUGCGAAAGCGUGGGGAGCAAACA